rnacentral:sRNA from 1 species
UGUCUUCGGAGGGGCGGACGUUGUUGC